UGAUACUAGGGUCAAAAGCUCCAAAAAGCCGUUCGUGCUUGCACGAUAAGGGUUUUGAGCUUGGGACCCGCAAAAAACAUGAGGAUGCAGCGAUUUUCAAAGAAAAUCAGCGAAUCCGAAUGUUUUUAGAAUUGCGAAAGUUGCAUCGCAACGGAGCAAUUCGUGGGUAUCA
rnacentral:ncRNA from 2 species